rnacentral:misc_RNA from 1 species
GAUGAAGAACGCAGCGAAAUGCGAUAAGUAGUGUGAAUUGCAGAAUUCAGUGAAUCAUCGAAUCUUUGAACGCACAUUGCGCCCUUUGGCAUUCCAAAGGGCAUGCCUGUUCGAGCGUCAUUUGUACCCUCAAGCUUUGCUUGGUGUUGGGCGUCUUGUCUCUAGCUUUGCUGGAGACUCGCCUUAAAGUAAUUGGCAGCCGGCCUACUGGUUUCGGAGCGCAGCACAAGUCGCACUCUCUAUCAGCAAAGGUCUAGCAUCCAUUAAGCCUUUUUUUCAACUUUUGACCUCGGAUCAGGUAGGGAUACCCGCUGAACUUAAGCAUAUCAAUAAGCGGAGGA